rnacentral:rRNA from 1 species
AUGGAGCCGACCUUGAAAUACCACCCUUUAAUGUUUGAUGUUCUAACGUUGACCCGUGAUCCGGGUUGCGGACAGUGUCUGGUGGGUAGUUUGACUGGGGCGGUCUCCUCCUAAAGAGUAACGGAGGAGCACGAAGGUUGGCUAAUCCUGGUCGGACAUCAGGAGGUUAGUGCAAUGGCAUAAGCCAGCUUGACUGCGAGCGUGACGGCGCGAGCAGGUGCGAAAGCAGGUCAUAGUGAUCCGGUGGUUCUGAAUGGAAGGGCCAUCGCUCAACGGAUAAAAGGUACUCCGGGGAUAACAGGCUGAUACCGCCCAAGAGUUCAUAUCGACGGCGGUGUUUGGCACCUCGAUGUCGGCUCAUCACAUCCUGGGGCUGAAGUAGGUCCCAAGGGUAUGGCUGUUCGCCAUUUAAAGUGGUACGCGAGCUGGGUUUAGAACGUCGUGAGACAGUUCGGUCCCUAUCUGCCGUGGGCGCUGGAGAACUGAGGGGGGCUGCUCCUAGUACGAGAGGACCGGAGUGGACGCAUCACUGGUGUUCGGGUUGUCAUGCCAAUGGCACUGCCCGGUAGCUAAAUGCGGAAGAGAUAAGUGCUGAAAGCAUCUAAGCACGAAACUUGCCCCGAGAUGAGUUCUCCCUGACUCCUUGAGAGUCCUGAAGGAACGUUGAAGACGACGACGUUGAUAGGCCGGGUGUGUAAGCGCAGCGAUGCGUUGAGCUAACCGGUACUAAUGAACCGUGAGGCUUAACCUUACAACGCCGAAGGUGUUU